GUUGAACGCUGGCGGCAGGCCUAACACAUGCAAGUCGAGCGGAUGAAGGGAGCUUGCUCCUGGAUUCAGCGGCGGACGGGUGAGUAAUGCCUAGGAAUCUGCCUGGUAGUGGGGGAUAACGUCCGGAAACGGGCGCUAAUACCGCAUACGUCCUGAGGGAGAAAGUGGGGGAUCUUCGGACCUCACGCUAUCAGAUGAGCCUAGGUCGGAUUAGCUAGUUGGUGGGGUAAAGGCCUACCGAGGCGACGAUCCGUAACUGGUCUGAGAGGAUGAUCAGUCACACUGGAACUGAGACACGGUCCAGACUCCUACGGGAGGCAGCAGUGGGGAAUAUUGGACAAUGGGCGAAAGCCUGAUCCAGCCAUGCCGCGUGUGUGAAGAAGGUCUUCGGAUUGUAAAGCACUUUAAGUUGGGAGGAAGGGCAGUAAGUUAAUACCUUGCUGUUUUGACGUUACCAACAGAAUAAGCACCGGCUAACUUCGUG
rnacentral:rRNA from 1 species